AUUGAACGCUGGCGGCAGGCCUAACACAUGCAAGUCGAACGGUAACAGGAAGACGCUUGCUUCUUUGCUGACGAGUGGCGGACGGGUGAGUAAUGUCUGGGAAACUGCCUGAUGGAGGGGGGUAACUACUGGAAACGGUAGCUAAUACCGCAUAACGUCGCAAGACCAAAGAGGGGGACCUUCGGGCCUCUUGCCAUCGGAUGUGCCCAGAUGGGAUUAGCUAGUAGGUGGGGUAACGGCUCACCUAGGCGACGAUCCCUAGCUGGUCUGAGAGGAUGACCAGCCACACUGGAACUGAGCCACGGUCCUGACUCCUACGGGCGGCAGCGGUGCGGAAUAUUGCACAAUGGGCGCAAGCCUGAUGCAGCCAUGCCGGGUGUAUGCAGCAGGCCUUCGGGUUGUAAAGUACUUUCCGCGGUGAGGAAGGGAGUAACGUUAAUACCUUUGCUCAUUGACGUUACCCACAGAAGAAGCACCGGCUAACUCCGUG
rnacentral:rRNA from 1 species